rnacentral:lncRNA from 1 species
AACCAUGGGGAAUGCAACCCCUAGCGAAUAAUCUCCGGAACCUGUUUGCACCCAAGACACAAUACUCACCUACUUGCGCAGAACCCAGAAACGUGGCUCAUUGUGUGGCUGUUUCCUCUGAAAUCUUUCAUGGUUAUGAACCGCAGUGAAAUCUACUGUCUUGUUAUUGAGGUGUAUUGGGUUUUGGACUUCCAUACUAGUAGGUGAACAGCCCACAGACCUCAGAAACUCAAAGAUCAGGGCCAGAAUGGUAUAUUGGCAACAGUGCAUAGAAAAGAAAGGUGUGGCCGAGCGCGGUGGCUCACGCCUGUAAUCCCAAAGUGUAAUCACACUUUGGGAGGCCAAGGUGGAAAGAUCACUUGAGCCCAGGAGUUCAAGAGCAGCCUGGGCAACAUGAUGAAACCCUUCUUCACCAAAAAUAAAAAAAUUAGCCUGGCAUUGUGGCAUGCACCUGUGGUCCCAGCUACUCAGGAGGCUGAAGUGGGAGGAUUGCUUGAGCCCAGGAGAUGGAGGCUACAGUGAGCUGUGAUCACCAUCACUGCACUCCAGCCUAGGUGACAGAAUGAGACCCUAUCAAAAAAAAAAAAAAUUUGGUCUGGGUGUGUUUAUUUUCAUCAAGGUUGAAAUGUGUGCACUUUUCCGUGUAAUGCUACGUUUCACUUUGUAAAAGCUUAAUUUAAAAAAGUGAGUGAUACCUUUCUCUUAGAGUUGUUGUGAGGAAUACAUAAAAUAGCAGAUCUGAAGCAACUUUUUCUUAGUGUAAGAAUAAAUGCUAUUCUUAUACUAAUAAGAUUAUACUAUAGCAUAAAUGCUAUUCUUAUUCUAAUAAGAGUAUACCAUAGAAUAAAUGCUAUUCUUACACUAAUCAGAAUAUACUGUAG